UGUUCUAUUACCUAUCCAGGAAAGCUGUUUGGGCCCCUUUGGGAAGAUACAGAAAGUCAGUAAAAACACUCUUAAUCCGGUGAUCUUCCUGACAGGAUGUCAGCCCCAUUCUUCGGAUUCUCUAUUAGAAUACAGACAGCUUGUCAUUGCGAAAGGUAAUUAAGUGUCCAAGAUGGUGUGGCACUCUGCUUAAUUUUGCUGCACAGUUCUUAGGGUACUAUUGCACCUCUCCCGUAGGAUGCAGAUUUUAAUUUUUUUAAACACCAAAUACCACAAAGCCUUCAUUAACGUCUUGGAAAAAUACAAGCUGGAUUGGAAGGUACCAGAGUGUUUUCAUCCAUUGCUUUCAUACGUUGGUAGACAGGACUGUGUACCUGGAGGUUAACACUGGUCAUUGACCAUAAUAAAGAGAUGGAUUGACUGGCAAACAAGGUUAUCACAAUCUCACCAGUACUUAAAGAGCAAAGCUCUCUGCUGUUUUGUUUUGCCUAUGUGCCUUGCAACCCUAAAACAAAGAUGAGGGGUGUAUGACCUUCAAGAUAUUGCUGGACUCCAACUCCUGUGUGUCCCAGCCAUCAUGGCUAAUUGAAUCCCAAUCUGUGGGAAAGGCAGGAUAUAAAUAUAAAUAUGUUAAAAUAAUAGGAGGAGGAGAGGAAGAAUGGUCAGGGAUGGUGGGAGUUGUAGUCCUACAACCUCUGGAGGGCCACAGGUUCCUCAUGCCUUGCCCUAAAUGAACCAGGACCAGGUAGGACUGGCUAUUGCCAUAUCAACAAGUCCACUUAUUAACAUCUUCAGCCCAGCUUUGGGUACUCCCCCAUUCUGAAGUGAUGUGGGUAGAUAAGAUGAACAGUGUCCUCUCACUGGCAGUGCCCUGAUUAUGGAAAACUCAAGGCACUUUUGUCAGGCUCUUUCUAUUAGGCACCGCCUGACAUUCCCAGCCCUGUUCCCUAAGACUUUCAGUGGCAUUUAGGAAUAUAGGAAGCUGUCUUAUACUGCCAUCCCUUUCGACCAACUAAUCAAAAGCCCCCUCUCCUCCCCCCCAAAUAUGGCUCUGGGGGCUCAGGAGAACCUCCAGAGAUGUGUGUAGGGAGAGGAGAGGGGAGAUAUGUCUGCCAAGCAGAAAUGCUUGUAGUGACAGAACUAUUGUAACAGCACAACACUGCAUUCCUCCCAGAAUCAGAAGCUGCAGAAUCUCCAGUUAAGGAGCUGGACAAAGAGCCAGACCAGGUUCAGGACUUGAUUCUAUGUCCAUUUAAAGCUGAAACUAUGAGUUUUGCACUUUCCCAAACAAUAUGUGGAUUGAAGCACAAGUAUUCUUUGAAAUUUGCAUUUAUUUGAAUUUUGUGCUGCUGUUAUUUGACCAAUAUAUAUUACCAUGGGGCACCGAGGAACGUAUUUCCAAGUUGUUGUUGUUUAGUCGUUUAGUCGUGUCCGACUCUUCGUGACCCCAUGGACCAGAGCACACCAGGCACUCCUGUCCUCCACUGCCUCCCGCAGUUUGAUCAAACUCAUGCUGGUAGCUUCAAGAACACCAUCCAACCAUCUCAUCCUCUGUCGUCCCCUUCUCCUUGUGCCCUCCAUCUUUCCCAACAUCGGGGACUUUUCCAGGGAGUCUUCUCAUGAGGUGGCCAAAGUAUUGGAGCCUCAGCUUCACGAUCUGUCCUUCCCGUGAGCACUCAGGGCUGAUUUCCUUAAGAAUGGAUAGGUUUGAUCUUCUUGCAGUCCAUGGGACUCUCCAGAGUCUCCUCCAGCACCAUAAUUCAAAAGCAUCAAUUCUUCGGCGAUCAGCCUUCUUUAUGGUCCAGCUCUCACUUCCAUACAUCACUACUGGGAAAACCAUAGCUUUUACUAUACGGACCUUUGUUGACAAGGUGAUGUCUCUACUUUUUAAGAUGCUGUCUAGGUUUGUCAUUGCUUUUCUCCCAAGAAGCAGGCGUCUUUUAAUUUCGCGACUGCUGUCACCAUCUGCAGUGAUCAUGGAGCCCAAGAAAGUAAAAUCUCUUACUGCCUCCAUAGAAUCAUAGAAUCAUAGAAUCAUAGAGUUGGAAGAGACCACAAGGGCCAUCGAGUCCAACCCCCUGCCAAGCAGGAAACACCAUCAGAGCACUCCUGACAUAUGGUUGUCAAGCCUCUGCUUAAAGACCUCCAAAGAAGGAGACUCCACCACACUCCUUGGCAGCAAAUUCCACUGUCAAACAGCUCUUACUGUCAGGAAGUUCUUCCUAAUGUUUAGGUGGAAUCUUCUUUCUUGUAGUUUGGAUCCAUUGCUCCGUGUCCGCUUCUCUGGAGCAGCAGAAAACAACCUUUCUCCCUCCUCUAUGUGACAUCCUUUUAUAUAUUUGAACAUUUCUUCCCCUUCUAUUUGCCAGGAGGUGAUAGGACCAGUGGCCAUGAUCUUCGUUUUUUUGAUGUUGAGCUUCAGACCAUAUUUUGCACUCUCUUCUUUCACCCUCAUUAAAAGGUUCUUUAAUUCCUCCUCACUUUCUGCCAUCAAGGUUGUGUCAUCUGCAUAUCUGAGGUUGUUGAUAUUUCUUCCGGCAAUCUUAAUUCCGGCUAGGGAUUCAUCCAGCCCAGCCUUUCGCAUGAUGGAUUCUGCAUAUAAGUGAAAUAACCAGGGAGACAAUAUACAGCCUUGUCGUACUCCUUUCCCAAUUUUGAACCAAUCAGUUGUUCCAUAUCCAGUUCUAACUGUAGCUUCUUGUCCCACAUAGAGAUUUCUCAGGAGACAGAUGAGGUGAUCAGGCACUCCCAUUUCUUUAAGAACUUGCCAUAGUUUGCUGUGGUUGACACAGUCAAAGGCUUUUGCAUAGUCAAUGAAGCAGAAGUAGAUGUCUUUCUGGAACUCUCUAGCUUUCUCCAUAAUCCAGCGCAUGUUUGCAAUUUGGUCUCUGGUUCCUAAAUCCAGCUUGCACUUCUGGGAGUUCUUGGUCCACAUACUGCUUGAGCCUUCCUUGUAGAAUUUUAAGCAUAACCUUGCUAGCGUGUGAAAUGAGUGCAAUUGUGCGGUAGUUGGAGCAUUCUUUGGCACUGUAGACUGAUCUUCUCCAAUCCUCUGGCCACUGCUGAGUUUUCCAAACUUGCUGGCAUAUUGAGUGUAGCACCUUAACAGCAUCAUCUUUUAAAAUUUUAAAUAGUUCAGCUGGAAUACCAUCACUUCCACUGGCCUUGUUAUUUGCAGUGCUUUCUAAGGCCCAUUUGACUUCACUCUCCAGGAUGUCUGGGUCAAGGUCAGCAACCACACUACCUGGGGUGUACGAGACAUCCAUAUCUUUCUGGUAUAAUUCCUCUGUGUAUUCUUGCCACCUCUUCUUGAUGUCUUCUGCUUCUGUUAGGUCCUUACCACUUUUGUCCUUUAUUAUGGUAAUCUUUGUACGAAAUGUUCCUUUCAUAUUUCCGAUUUUCUUGAACAGAUCUCUGGUUCUUCCCAUUCUGUUGUUUUCUUCUAUUUCUUUGCAUUGCUCGUUUAAGAAGGCCUUCUUGUCUCUCCUUGCUAUUCUUUGGAAAUCUGCAUUCAAUUUCCUGUAUCUUUCACUAUCUCCCUCGCAUUUUGCUUGCCUUCUCUCCCCGCUAUUUGUAAGGCCUCGUUGGACAGCCACUUUGCUUUCUUGCAUUUCUUUUUCAUUGGGAUGGUUUUAGUUGCUGCCUCCUGUAUAAUGUUGCGAGCCUCCACCCAUAGUUCUUCAGGCACUCUGUCCAGCAAAUCUAAAUCCUUAAACCUGUUCCUCACUUCCACUGUGUAUUCAUAAGGGAUUUGGUUUAGAUUGUAUCUUACCGGCCCAGUGGUUUUUCCUACUUUCUUCAGUUUAAGCUUGAAUUUUGCUAUAAGAAGCUGAUGAUCUGAGCCACAGUCAGCUCCAGGUCUUGUUUUUGCUGAAUGUAUAGAGCUUCUCCAUCUUUGGCUGCAGAGAAUAUAAUCAAUCUGAUUUCGAUGUUGCCCAUCUGGUGAUGUCCAUGUGUAGAGUCGUCUCUUGUGUUGUUGGAAAAGCGUGUUUGUGAUGACCAGCUUGUUCUCUUGACAGAACUCUAUUAGCCUUUGCCCUGCUUCGUUUUGAUCUCCAAGGCCAAACUUGCCAGUUGUUCCUUUUAUCUCUUGAUUCCCUACUUUAGCAUUCCAAUCCCCUAUAAUGAGAAGAACAUCCUUCUUUGGUGUCAUUACUAUAAGGUCUUGUAAGUCUUCAUAGAAUUGGUCAAUUUCACUUUCUUCAGCACCAGUAGUUGGUGCAUAAACUUGGAUUACUGUGAUGUUAAAAGGUCUGCCUUGGAUUCGUAUCGAGAUCAUUCUAUCAUUUUUGAGAUUGCAUCCCAGUACAGCUUUCGCCACUCUUUUGUUGACUAUGAGGGCCCCUCCAUUUCUUUUACGGGUUUCUUUCCCACAGUAGUAGAUAUGAUGGUCAUCUGAACUGAAUUUGCCCAUUCCCGUCCAUUUUAGUUCACUGAUGCCCAGGAUGUCAAUAUUUAUUCUUGCCAUCUCAUUUUUGACCACAUCCAACUUACCCAGGUUCAUGGUUCUUACAUUCCAGGUUCCUAUGCAAUAUUUUUCUUUACAGCAUUGGACUUUCCUUUCGCUUCCAGGCAUAUCCGCAACUGAGCGUCCUUUCGGCUUUGGCCCAGCCGCUUCAUCAGCUCUGGAUCUACUUGUACUUGUCCUCCGCUCUUCCCCAGUAGCAUGUUGGACACCUUCCGACCUGAGGGGCUCAUCUUCCAGCGUCAUAACUUUUAUAUGCCUGUUGUCUUUGUCCAUGGAGUUUUCUUGGCAGGGAUACUGGAGUGGCUUGCCGGUUCCUCCUCCAGGUGGAUCACGUUUGGUCAAAACUCUCCACUAUGACCUGUUCAUAGCUUCUCUGAGUUAUUCAAGCCCCUUCGCCAUGGCAAGGCAGUGAUCCAUGAAGGGGAUUUCCAAGUAAACACGUGUGUGUAUGUAUGUAUAUAUAUAUAUAUAUAUGGGGAAAGUGUGCAUAAAAAUGAAGAGAUUAAUGAAAAUACGAAUAAAAAAUGUAAAACUAUAUAAAAAUGCAUUAUAUAAAAAUGCAUUAUAUUAGGAGAAACUGCUUGAAAAAAAUGUGUACAUGGCACAUGGCUUACAAAAGUGUUACGUUACUUACAAAAAGGCAUAUAAAUUUGUGUUACUUAGGAAAAAUUCACACUGAAAUGCUUGUGAAUUUUCAUAAGGAUUUUUUAAAAAAGAUAUCACAAAGUCCUGGAAAAAUGAGAACCUGAGAGAACCAAAAUCGCUACCUGGGAAUUAAUCCCAUUGAAUUUGAUAGGACUUACCCCCGAGUCAAGGUUGUUAGGAUUGUGUUGUAUGUCUGCAAUCCUAAAUGCUCUUACGAGGAGGUAACCCCAUGGGACACUGAGGAACAUAUAUCCAAGUACCCAUGCAUAUGAUUCCACUGUUCAUAUUCUUGAUAGUAAUAUGUAGGAAAUGAGCAGCAGAAAUGCAAUAUGGCUGUUAAUCAAAAUUUUAAUAAAGAUGCAUUAAAUAAUAAGCAAGAGGAAGAUUCAGAAGUUGAAUUAUCUGAGUGAGGCACAUAGUAACGUCUUGCUUUUUUCCCCCUAAAAGGAAAGGCUGUUUCCAAGAGCAAGGUCAAUGAGGCAAUGAAAUAAUUUACCUAGGGGAUUCAUCAAGGAAUCAUCAGAAGAG